CCGUCUUGAAACACGGACCAAGGAGUCUAGCAUAUGUGCAUGCGCAUGGGCUUUACACCUGUGUGUGCAACGAAAGUGACUGCUGGGAUAAGUGCGCCACAACCCGACCAAUUGAUUGAGAAAGGUUUGAGUAUCAGCAUAUGUGUUAGGACCCGAAAUAUGGUGAACUAUGCUUGAGAAGGGCAAACUCAGGGGAAACUCUGAUGGAGGCUCGUAGCGGUACUGACGCGCAAAUCGUUCGUCAUACUUGGGUAUAGGGGCGAAAGACUAAUCGAACCAUCUAGUAGCUGGUUCCCUCUGAAGUUUCCCUCAGGCUAGCUGGAGUUGAACAGUUUUAUCAGGUAAAGCGAAUGAUUAGAGGAAUCGGGGGCGCGCCGUUCUCGACCUAUUCUCAAACUUUUAACUGGGUAAGAUCCAGUGGUUAACUUGGGUGAACUUAUUGGGGCACAUUUUUACAUCCAAGUGGGCCAUUUUUUGGUAAGCAGAACUGGCGAUGAGGGAUGAACCUAACGUAGGCCUAAGGUGCCUUAACUGCUCGCUCAUUAGAUACCAUAAAGGGUGUUGGUCCAUUUUGACAGCAGGACGGUGGUCAUGGAAGUUGAAAUCCGCUAAGGAGUGUGUAACAACUCACCUGCCGAAUGGACUAGCCCCGAAAAUGGAUGGCGCUCAAGCGGGUGACCGAUGCCCAGCCAUUGCUGCAAGUAUGCUACAACAAUGAGUAGGAGGGUGUGGUGAUUGUGAUGAAUCUCUAAAUGUGAAUUUGGGUGAAGCAAUUUCCAGUCCAAGAUCUUGGUGGUAGUAGCAA
rnacentral:rRNA from 1 species